GACGAACGCUGGCGGCGUGCUUAACACAUGCAAGUCGAACGGAAAGGCCCUGCUUUUGUGGGGUGCUCGAGUGGCGAACGGGUGAGUAACACGUGAGUAACCUGCCCUUGACUUUGGGAUAACUUCAGGAAACUGGGGCUAAUACCGGAUAGGAGCUCCUGCUGCAUGGUGGGGGUUGGAAAGUUUCGGCGGUUGGGGAUGGACUCGCGGCUUAUCAGCUUGUUGGUGGGGUAGUGGCUUACCAAGGCUUUGACGGGUAGCCGGCCUGAGAGGGUGACCGGCCACCUUGGGACUGAGAUAGGGCCCAGACUCCAACGGGAGGCAGCAGUGGGGAAUAUUGCACAAUGGGCGGAAGCCUGAUGCAGCAACGCCGCGUGCGGGAUGACGGCCUUCGGGUUGUAAACCGCUUUCGCCUGUGACGAAGCGUGAGUGACGGUAAUGGGUAAAGAAGCACCGGCUAACUACGUG
rnacentral:rRNA from 1 species